AUUGCACAUUGUUGGAGCUUGGAGUUGGUGCUCUAACUGGCUGAUAAACCUGCAAGUGUAGUUAGUAUGCUAUGUGGGGGGCAAAUUUUUCAGUAACAUGACAAAGUCUUUGGCCUAGUGAGUAGAGUUUGACAAUAAUCCUCGCUGCAAGU
ensembl:snoRNA SNORA62 Small nucleolar RNA SNORA62/SNORA6 family